CAUCCAAAAGCUCCAAAUAAAUAAAAUCCAUAUACAAUUUUGUCACAAAUUCCACCCAAUAGGAACUUUAUUCUGCUGUGGUGAACCAAGCUAAUGCAUAUUUUUGGCUGCCUGUCUUCAGUCCUUUUGCAAAAAAAAAAAUGUAGAUGGAGGUUAACCAUUAGCUUAUCAUUCUGCUAAAUCAGAUUCCACUGCGGCAGGCAUGCUCACAUAUUUCACAGCUCUCAGCUGCAAGCUGACUUACAGGUUCUUCAGUCUAUGGCCACUGCAGAAAAAAAGAAAACCUGGUGGAAAUCGAGUUGUGUGGCUGAACACAGAGUGAGAAGACAUAAGAAGCUGAAAGAGAAGAAAGUGAAACAAGAAGUGGAUGGAAUAAACAAUUCAACCCAUCCUUGCGUGACACACAUGGGGCGUAUCCAAAACUACACAUGGUAGGAGAUUUGCUGCUUCCAAGAUACCACUGAUCCUGAUUUCUUUUGCUCUCCUGAUUGGCCUUAUCCUGUUUGGAGAUCUCCUCACCUGAGGACAGCCUCCAACAUGUCCACAGAUCACUAUGAGAUUACAAAAAAAAAAAAAAAAGAACUACACUGACUGGUGUUUCUGUUAAUUAUAUAAAAGAGUUGAAUUGAUUGUGUAGAUUUUGAAGUGUAUUUGUGGAUAUGAGACUAGGUCUCAGAUCUUUUUUAGAUCUUCCAUUUCCACCCAUGUAUAGCAUAUCUUCAUGAAGCUGGCUUCGUAAACAGGAGCAUUUUCAUGCAGAAACAUGUUUGGGAAGUUCAGAUCCCAUAGUUAAAGGGAAGAAAUCUUGUCAUGCUACCACAUCCAAAGACAUCCUAUUAGACCAUUGUGAGCCUUCAACUUUGUAGUUACAGUUUGGGAAAAAUCAGGGGUCCAACUAGGUUUGUCUAUAUAGUGUGUAUAGAAAGAGUUCACUCUGUUUUUUAUGUCAGUUCUGUUUCUCUGAUGUUCAUUUACUGAUUUGACACUUCUGAUGUUCUGUUUCAAAUGUAUGUGUCUAUUAAACACUUUCACAAAAAAAUGAACACAUUUUGCAUUGUAAGCAAGUGAUGUGGUCAUUUUAUAGAGAUGAAUAAUGUAAAUUGGGGUCACUGAUAAGAUUAAAAAUAUAUAAAAACUAUAGCAAUAGCACACAAACACUAAAAACCUUUACCUAGUCAAAAAAUAAUUAUUAGGUGUGGGUAAUUUAGAAGUGAGGGGUAAAAUAGCAUUUCCUGCUCGUGGGUAUCGU